UGGGGAAUAUUGCACAAUGGGCGCAAGCCUGAUGCAGCCAUGCCGCGUGUAUGAAGAAGGCCUUCGGGUUGUAAAGUACUUUCAGCGGGGAGGAAGGGAGUAAAGUUAAUACCUUUGCUCAUUGACGUUACCCGCAGAAGAAGCACCGGCUAACUCCGUGCCAGCAGCCGCGGUAAUACGGAGGGUGCAAGCGUUAAUCGGAAUUACUGGGCGUAAAGCGCACGCAGGCGGUUUGUUAAGUCAGAUGUGAAAUCCCCGGGCUCAACCUGGGAACUGCAUCUGAUACUGGCAAGCUUGAGUCUCGUAGAGGGGGGUAGAAUUCCAGGGGUAGCGGUGGAAUGCGCAGAUAUCUGGAGGAACACCGAUGGCGAAGGCAGGUCACUGGGACAUUACUGACGAUGAGGAGCGAAAGCAUGGGUAGCGAACAGG
rnacentral:rRNA from 1 species